GACGAAGGGGGCUAGCGUUGUUCGGAAUCACUGGGCGUAAAGGGCGCGUAGGCGGCCAUAUAAGUCGGGGGUGAAAGCCUGUGGCUCAACCACAGAAUUGCCUUCGAUACUGUAUGGCUCGAGACCGGAAGAGGUAAGUGGAACUGCGAGUGUAGAGGUGAAAUUCGUAGAUAUUCGCAAGAACACCAGUGGCGAAGGCGGCUUACUGGUCCGGUUCUGACGCUGAGGCGCGAAAGCGUGGGGAGCAAACAGG
rnacentral:rRNA from 1 species